rnacentral:rRNA from 1 species
UACAGAGGGGGCAAGCGUUGUUCGGAAUUACUGGGCGUAAAGGGCGCGUAGGCGGCCUGCUAAGUCGAACGUGAAAUCCCCGGGCUCAACCCGGGAACUGCGUCCGAUACUGGCAGGCUUGAAUCCGGGAGAGGGAUGUGGAAUUCCAGGUGUAGCGGUGAAAUGCGUAGAUAUCUGGAGGAACACCGGUGGCGAAGGCGGCAUCCUGGACCGGUAUUGACGCUGAUGCGCGAAAGCUAGGGGAGCAAACGGG